rnacentral:rRNA from 1 species
AUUGAACGCUGGCGGCAGGCCUAACACAUGCAAGUCGAACGAGUGGCGGACGGGUGAGUAAUGUCUGGGACACUGCCCGAUGGAGGGGGAUAACUACUGGAAACGGUAGCUAAUACCGCAUACCCUCGGAUGUGCCCAGAAGGGAUUAGCUUGUAGGUGAGGUAACGGCUCACCUAGGCGACGGUCCCUAGCUGGGCUGAGAGGAUGACCAGCCACACUGGAAAUGAGACACGGUCCAGACUCCUACGGUAGGCAGCAUUGGGGAAAAUUGGACAAAGGGCGCAAGCCGGAUGCAGCAAUGCCGCGUUGAUGAAGAAGGCCUUCGGGUUGUAAAGUACUUUCAGCGGGGAGGCGUUACCCGCAGAAGAAGCACCGGCUAACUCCGUGCCAGCAGCCGCGGUAAUUC